UUCUUGGGUGUGUCCCGCAGCUGCUCCGUCAAUGUGGCAGCCCCGUCUUGCUCAUCUGGGGGCAUGUUUCAAACCCGAGAAGAAAUCAUAAGCCCUGUGGAGACAGUCAGUCAAUAUAUUUCUCAGGGUUAUCUGAAACAAAGAAAGAUCAAUUAUUACAAAACAUGGGAGACAUUGGCUGCUCUACAUCAAUGCCACACAUAUUACUGUAGAAAGUCAACAGCAGCCUUGAAAGUGGUAGAACCACCCCAGAGAACACAAUGAAAUUAUAAUGUUUUAUUACAUAAAAAUAGAAAACCUCAGUGUGACAUGAAGUUCAAUUUAAAAAAGUGCAAAAGAUACAUGGUAAACCGGAAAAAAAAACACGGCCAGGCAUAUCACAAAGGUUUUAAUAUACUUAAAAUGUAACAAGUCUCUAAAUAUAGGGAAGAAGACUACCAACAAUCACAUGUAAGCAUGUUAGAGACGUGAACAAACAAUAUAAAGGAAAAAACAGAAAUGGCUUUUAAUCUCAUUGAAAAAAUUUUAAAAAUCACCUCAAUACCACUUUAGAGACAAAAUUUUAGAAGUUUCACAUGUAACUAUGUUAGUGUGGCUGUACACACAUUGUUGCUAAGAAAGCCCCAUUAGGCACUUGUGGAGAGGAAUUUGGCAACAUUUAGCAAAGUUGCAAAGCAGUAACACUUUGACCUACAAUCCAACAUCUUAAAAUCCAUCCUGAAGGAGACUGGCAAAAAUUGAAAAGACUGGUGCACAAGACCAUUGGUUGCAACAUUAGAAAAUGUAGAGCAUACUUCUAAACUUGAAUGUCAAUAAAAAUCAUAAUGCAAUUAGAUAAUUCUUAUGAAUAAAUAAUAAAAUGUGUGCAAACUGAAAAUUGUGAGAUGCAGCAAAGAGCAUUAUGUGAGAGCAAUCUAUAAGCUUAGUUGUUUACGCUGGAAACUCAGAAAGGCUGAAAGUUAAUUAAGCAUACAACUCAAGUUAGAAAAAAGUAGCAUCAGAAUAAAUGCAGAUAAUGUAAUGGAAGGAUAACAGAUGAGAAGAGAAAUUGAUGAAAUAGAAAAUAAGGACAAUACUAGGGAGAAGUAACAAAGCCAACAGUUGUUUUCCAGAAAAGUCUAAUACAAAAGUCAUUAGUGAGAUUUAUCAAGAAAAAAGGGAAAUAAUCAAAAUUCAUAUCAGAAAUUCAUAGGAAGACAUAACCACAGAAGUAGCAGAGAUUACAAAACAAUCAGUGGAUAUUAUGAAUAAAUAUAUGUAUUCAAAUCUACAUAUGUAUUCAUUAUGUAUGUAAACAUAUAUGAAUAUGGAUAUCAUGCCAAGACAUUUUAAAAUGUGUACAAAAUAGACAAAAUCCUAGAAAGUAUAAUUUUCUAAAAUGAACUCAUGAAGAAAUAAAAAUCCUGAAUAGUUCAGUAGCUUCUAUGUAAAUUUAAUCAGUAGUUAAGAAGUAUCGGUCUUUGUCUCUUUCUUUCCCUUUCUCUCUUUUUCUCUCUCACACACAGAGCCCUAAUAGUAUUAUUGGCUAAAUCCAAAAUUACAGUGGAGUUGUCAUUCUAAUCCAAUUAAAAUAUUUCCAUAAAAUUAAUGAAGGGGGCUACUUUCAAUUAAUCUGAUGAGAAUAUUAUCUCAAUACCAUACAAAAAAUUAAGUACAAAAAGAAAAAUUGCCUGCCAAUCUUAUUGAAGAGCACUGGCAUAAACUCCCCAGAGGAGAAGGCAAUGACCACGCCUCCAAUAGGAAGAAUCAAUACAAACAAAACAGUGUGCACCCCAAAAAAGCAUAUCCUGACUUGCUCAACCUUAUAGCCAAUAUUUAAAAAAAUCCGGAACACACAGGGCCAUGGGAGUGGCUGUUGGAGAAAUUUUCAUGAAGGAAGAAAGAUUACAACUAAGUUUUAAAAUGCUAGUUUUGUUUGUUUUGUCUUGGAGAGGAGGUAAAAGUGGGAGUAAAAAUAGGGAGUUUGGUGUAAGGUGAGAAAAGCAAAGGAAACCUGCAUGGAUGGGCUGAAGGGUGUGAUGGGAGAACAGUGAGAAGUACGUUUGGGGAAGCAAUUGGAAAUAGCAGCUAAGCUUAAUCACAAUCUAUCAAAAGGGAUUUGUCGAAGAAUUAAUGUGUGACUAGAAACAGGGAGGUUAUGGGCUUGUCAGCUCGACAGUGGGCACUCAGUUCCACUAACGAAUGAUGCCCGUGUGGACAGACAGAAUGAUGGACAGGCAGAUGAAUGCGUGGGCUUUAUGUGAAACAGGUCCUCUUGGUUGUUGACAAGAUACUGUUUUAAAGUUCCAUUUUGCCAUACUUCGAAUAGCUUUUCAUUCGCUAAAUUUAGCUACAUGUAAAAUCACUAAGGCAGACUUCCAGAGUUCCCACAUGAAAAUCAAAUGUAAACCAGCUGUGACCUACUUCGACACCGUCAUCGGAAGUCAGAAGUUGAGCUCCUUUUUGAUGUUUAAAGCCUGCAUAAUAUUUGCUGUAUUACUAUUCAGUGUAUUACUAUUUCCUUUGUGAUGGAAAUUUGGUUUGUCCCAAUUUUCUAUUCUAUUAAAACACUGCUACAUAGAAAAUCCCCAUGCACAUAUUUCUCCUAAUUGUGGAAAUAUUUUACAUAAAAUACUCUAGACGUGGAUGAAAUUACCAGGUUAUUAGAAUUUUAAAAUAGGUACUCCCAAAUUGUGCUCUUACAAAUUAUAUGAAUUCAUAAGCUUCCAACUGUUAUGGAGUUACCCAUUUUGAGAAAUCUGUGCUAAAAUGA
rnacentral:lncRNA from 1 species